AGUUUGACUAGAGCCAAUGAACGCCUGAGC
rnacentral:piRNA from 1 species